AACGCGAAGAACCUUACCAAGGCUUGACAUAUACCGGAAACGGCCAGAGAUGGUCGCCCCCUUGUGGUCGGUAUACAGGUGGUGCAUGGUUGUCGUCAGCUCGUGUCGUGAGAUGUUGGGUUAAGUCCCGCAACGAGCGCAACCCUCGUUCUGUGUUGCCAGCAUGCCUUUCGGGGUGAUGGGGACUCACAGGAGACUGCCGGGGUCAACUCGGAGGAAGGUGGGGACGACGUCAAAUCAUCAUGCCCCUUAUGUCUUGGGCUGCACACGUGCUACAAUGGCCGGUACAAUGAGCUGCGAUACCGCGAGGUGGAGCGAAUCUCAAAAAGCCGGUCUCAGUUCGGAUUGGGGUCUGCAACUCGACCCCAUGAAGUCGGAGUUGCUAGUAAUCGCAGAUCAGCAUUGCUGCGGUGAAUACGUUCCCGGGCCUUGUA
rnacentral:rRNA from 1 species